rnacentral:rRNA from 1 species
CGGGAAACCGGAGCUAAUACCGGAUAAUAUAUUGAACCGCAUGGUUCAAUAGUGAAAUACGGUUUUGCUGUCACUUAUAGAUGGAUCCGCGCCGCAUUAGCUAGUUGGUAAGGUAACGGCUUACCAAGGCAACGAUGCGUAGCCGACCUGAGAGGGUGAUCGGCCACACUGGAACUGAGACACGGUCCCAGACUCCUACGGGAGGCAGCAGCC